UUUGGAGAUUCCUGUGAACAUCAACAGUCAUAAACAUGUCAUUCUGAACAGCAACAUCUUCUUAACAAGAAUUUAGUCAGUUGCCAAUUCAACAGAAUUCAAUCUUGUUCAUGUUGAUGAUCGGUACAACAUGAGACAGAUAGCAAGCCAUGGUAUAUCAGACCGUAUACUACAGAAACAUCUCCUCCCUACCUGGGAAAGCGAUUCAUCGCAACAGGCCGGAAGUCAAACUCAAUGUGCUACAAUGUGGUACUUUCAGACACAUGAAACGUACCUGUUACUACACAGACGUUCAGAACGUGUGCAAAGGCACAAUUUCUUCUUCUUCUGAGGUUUAACGGCGGUUUGCAUCCAAUUUGUUGCAUUACCGCCACCUACUAGACUGUAAUACAACACCCUUAUUCUUUGCUUGAAAAAUAAAAAUGACUAAAUAAAUACCCUACCAUCUAACACUACUCACUCAUUUCAAAAUAUAAAAUAAAAAUGAACACUACCCUACUCCACUAAUUAAAUGUAUUUAUUCCUACCUCAUGCCAUUAUCCUGAAAGAAUGGGACAUCGAUCCCGACAGAAUAAGAGCAAAUCAUCUUGUAACUCUUCUGAUGUCAAGUGUCGCACACCCAAAUACCUCUCUGCAGCUGCCACCACAAACUCAAUUUUAUGUGACUUCCGAUCCAUCCCUGCAGUACAAUUGGUAACCAUUUUUCUAAAUGCUAAAAAUCCAAUCUUACUCUGUCUGUACUGGUAUGGCUCUACUCUAACCUGGAAACCUCAACCUGCAUCUCUCGCUCGGGACAUUUCUGAUCCCCAGCUCCAUGGGCACCCCUACAAUUAACACAUUCCCCAAUAGUACACAUUCCUUUGUCUCAUGCCCUUCGGAACAUUUCUCACACCUUGAACCCUCCCUCCUACACACUGCUGCCACAUGCCCAUAAGCUUGACACCCGUAACAUCGUAAUGUAUUCGGCACAUACAGGAUAACAUAUCCUAACUCAUAUCCUAACAGACUCAACAUCAAAACUCGAAAGAACAGACAAUGUAUCUUCUGUUAUCUCCCACUCUUUCCGCAUCAAACGACUAACAUCAGAUACACUGGAAAUCUUAUCCCUCAGCUGGUCAACUGUUAUAUUUAAUGCUACCCCAGUUUAUCACU